UCCCAAUGAUCAAACACACAUUGUGGGAAGGCUUGACCUGAAGUAGCAGCUCUCAAGGUACCUGAAAAUCCAAAAGACUCAACAACAGGAAGGUAAGCCUUGAUGUUGUAAAGAGGAGUUCCUGGCCUCUGCAUCUCCUCAAACACGUGUCCACGCUUCUGAUUCAGAACACUAUAGAUACCACCAAGGGCUUGCUCCGGAGCCUGAAUUUCCACAAGGUAAACGGGUUCCAACAGGCGGGGUUUAGCAGUAAGCUGAGAAGCAUAGAUAACCCUCCUAGCAGUGGGAAUAACUUGGCCACCACCCCUGUGAAUAGCAUCAGAAUGAAGAACAACAUCACAGACUUCAAAGCAAAUACCUCUCAUGUUCUCUUCAGCCAAUGCACCUUCCUUCGAAGCCCACUGGAAACCAGCAACAACAGAAUCCUUAAUUUCAUUCAGGUACUGAACUCCCUUACACAUAUCCACCACCAUGUUGGGACCAGUUGUCUCAGGACCAAAGCACCAAAUCUUCUUUGCAAGAUCUUUGUCCCAGCCAAACUCCUCAGCCAAGAUCUUGGAACGAACCUUAGGGUCAUCCCUAGGGCCAAUGCGUCCCUC
rnacentral:lncRNA from 1 species